rnacentral:rRNA from 1 species
UACGGAGGGUGCAAGCAUUAAUCGGAUUUAUUGGGCGUAAAGGGCGCGUAGGCGGGCGUGCAAGUUAGAUGUGAAAUCCCGGGGCUCAACCUCGGAACAGCAUUUGAGACUGCACAUCUUGAGGCUAGAAGGAGAAAACGGAAUUCCACAAGUAGCGGUGAAAUGCGUAGAUAUGUGGAAGAACACCAGUGGCGAAGGCGGUUUUCUAUUUUAGACCUGACGCUGAGGCGCGAAAGCAAGGGGAGCAAACAGG